GAUGAACGCUGGCGGCGUGCUUAACACAUGCAAGUCGAACGAAGCAUUUUUGUGGAAGCUUUCGGGUGGAAACAGAAGUGACUUAGUGGCGGACGGGUGAGUAACGCGUGGGUAACCUGCCUUGUACAGGGGGAUAACAGUUAGAAAUGACUGCUAAUACCGCAUAAGCCUUUAGUGCCGCAUGGCACAGAAGGAAAAGAUUUAUCGGUACAAGAUGGACCCGCGUCUGAUUAGCUAGUUGGUGAGGUAAUGGCCCACCAAGGCGACGAUCAGUAGCCGACUUGAGAGAGUGAUCGGCCACAUUGGGACUGAGACACGGCCCAAACUCCUACGGGUGGCAG
rnacentral:rRNA from 1 species